CAAUCUCUUCCUGCAUGGCCUAUGAGCUUCACAACAUCAAUGUAGCUAAAGGAAAAAUCAUCUCAAGAGAAAUAUACUUUUCCUUCAUUGAUCAAAACAACCUUUGAGCUCGCAAAGAGAAAAAGCAAGGACAUGUCUUGGCUAUGUGCAGACAUUACCUCCUCUUCUGAAGACCGCAGAUUUGUGAACACCGAGAAAAAAACUCAGUGAAACAUUAGACUUGGCUCAUGAACCCACCAGGAUUAAAGCUGUCAAGAUGAAUAAUAAGGUAU